UUAGUUGAGUGACAAUCUGAGACAUCAACCCGACAAAAUUUGAUGAAGUGAAUGUGAAAUUUUUAGUCAAAAUUAAUUGUGGCUGACAUGACACAAUCUUGUUCUUCAAUUUCAGGAAUUAAUUUCUGCGGGUUCUGACACCACAACCUCAACAAUUGAAUGGGCAAUGGCAGAGUUGCUAAGGAACAAGGGUGCUAUGCACAAACUUCAGGCUGAGCUUACAAGUAAAUUCAGGGAAAAUGAUAUAAUCACAGAAUCAAACAUCAGUGAACUUCCAUAUUUGGCUGCUUGUGUCAAGGAGACAUUGAGACUCCAUUCGCCUACUCCCUUCUUGAUUCCUCGUCGUGCUCCUGAGACGUGUAAGAUUAUGAAUUAUACCAUCCAAAGAACUCGAAGUUGUUUGUGAAUGCUUACGCAAUAGGGCGUGACUCCAACACAUGGGAAGAUGCAUUAUCUUUCAGGCCAGAGCGAUUUCUUGACUCCAAGGUGGACUUCAGGGGUCAAGAUUUUGAGUUCAUACCAUUUGGCGCAGGGAGGAGAAUAUGCCCUGGCUUAGGUUUUGCUAGACAAGAAAUUCACUUGAUUUUAGCUAGUUUGAUCCAUUACUUUGAGUGGUCACUUCCUAAUGGUGAGGAUCCAAUGCAGUUAGAUAUGGAAGAAAAGUUUGGUGUUACUCUACAGAAAGAAAAGCCUCUACUCAUUGUCCCUAUGUAAUGUGUAUAUCUUUUUUGUUCUCCAUAUGCAACAUGUACCUUCACUUGCAAAUAAAAACUAUACUAUUAUGUUCCAAAGCUAUCUUAUUUUUUAGAAUGGAAUUAGUUUUUGCAUUGUUAUGAUAGAAUGGUUGGUGAUUGUUGGUGAUCAAUAUGGUGAUGAUUCGGUCGUGAAAUAAUUGUUUCGGGUGUAUGUUAUUCCUAUGUCAGGUGUGGAUGUUACUAAUUAUGAAAUGAGUGUAUUUCUGGUAUAUUUGGAAUGUAUAUAUGGUGUAUUUUAUUUGAUUGUAUGCCGUAUGAAUUACUGGACUUGCGUGUCGGUUUGAUAGAAUGUUUAAGAAUACUAUUUAAUAGCGUGUAUUAGUUAUCCGAAUUUGGUGGACUAUAUACGAUUUGAUAGGCUCGAUCUGAAAGUAUUAUGCUAGAGUUUGUGGGAAGAAAGAAGAAAGAAAGUAUCUCCAAAAUCUCUUAAAAUUUGAUUUCUAGUUUUUGAAAAUUAUAGGCUGCCAAUCGUUAUAAUUGCCUAUUAACUGAGUUUGGAGAAACACUAAUCACUUUCUGGGCUAGUAAUAUUGGGCCUCAUAACUAAACUAAGCAAUUCCAUUAGUGUAGUUUUUCUUUGUUUUUGGGGAACUUUCACAAAUUUGUCACUAUAAUAAAUUUAAUUAUGCUUCAUAGCUAUAGUUUGCAUAUUUACGGGUUGUAGCUACAAUUUAAGCUGUCUCGUUUGUAUAAUUUGCAAAUUUGUAUAAUUCGCAGGUACAUUUGUAUAAUUUAGUUAUUUUUGUAUAAACUUGAAAUAAUGAAUUUAUACAAUUACAAAAAUCAUAAGUGUAAACAGUUAUACAAAUUAUAUUAUACAAAUUCUGAAUUAUACAAAAGUUAUACAAAUUAUAUUAUGCAAAUUCCAAAUAAUACAAACGUGCGAAUUAUACAAAACUAAAAAGCUGAGCCGCGUAAUUAUAGCUAAAAGCAGGUCGCGAAUUGUAAUUAAGGCAAACUAUAGCUAUGUUAUCUAAUUAACUAGUAUAUAUUUGUUUAUACACGUAAUUUUCCCUUUCUUGUUUUUUACCAAGUAAAAAUUUGACACAUAUAUAUCACUUGAUGACUCAAUUAUGAUCAAAUUGACUCCAUAUUCAUCUUAGCCUAUUUUGUAGGAAAAAUUAAAAAUUGAUGAACAUUUUGUCAACUGCCACUAGAGAUGUUCCGUUUGGCCUCAAGAAUACUUGGAAAAAAUUUGGGGAAAAAAUUAAAAAGUGGUGUUUAAUUUGGUCAUAUAACUUAGCAAAUAUAUUUGUCAAGUAUUUCAAGUUUCCAAAUACUAGAAAAAACUAGUAUUUGGGCCAACUUCUAAUAUUUGGGAAUUUUAAAAAAUUAAAAAAAUUACCCCAAAUUUCUAUAUUUUAUUAAAAAAUACCCGUCAUUUAUUAAGUCCAACUAAUAUUUGUUACUACCUCCUCCGAAAAAGUUUGAGUUCUAAUUUAAGUGAUAAAAUUGAGAAAAAAGAACAAUUUGUUUUGAUGGGUUAUAAUUAUAACCGAAUCAAUAACAAGUUUGAAUAUGUGAUUAAUGUAUUGCUCUUGCAUAUAUUGUUAUUUUGUUGUUGUUGAUUGUUAUCAAUUAUGUUAUAAGGUUAUUUUUUAACUGAACAUAUUCAGUUAUUCACUAUGAAUAGAUAAUACAAAUUUAUGGGUAUCUUUAAUAGUUUUAGAAUUUAUGUGUAUAAAUCAUAUUUUUUAAAAUAGUAAAAUAUUCUUGAAAAAACUUGGAGCCAAAUACAUGUUGUAAUUUAACCAAAAACUAGGAUGAAAUAUUAUUUGGAAACUUGGAGCCGAACGCUAGCGUAAUCGAGUUCGCUUACCUCACUAAUGAGCUUUGGCGAUAUAAAGCUUUAAUAUAUUAUUGCAUAUAAUUUUCUUGAGUCGACGAUUAAUGUAUAUCCUUUUUUAUAUAAGAACAAAAAAUGCUGGAGAAAAUAUUUGUAUUUUAUAUCAAUUGUAUUCAAUUAAAUAUAAGUGAGAGAUUUGUGUUUUAUAUCAAUUGCAUUCGAAAACUGUAUUUGUAUUUUUGUAUCAAUUGUACGUGUAUUCAUACGAAUACAAUAUGCAUUCAUCUUCUUAGUCAAAUAUAUUCAAUAUCAAUUGUAUUCAAUCAAAGAGCGGAUGAAUACAAUUGUAUUCGUUGUAUUUCAAAUACAAUUGACACAAAAUACAAAAUAGUUGUGCACUAAAUAAAUUCAAAAUAUAAUGCAAAAUACAAUUCUCUCACCUCUCUCUGUCGAUCUCGCUCGUCUCUCCUCCUAAUAUGUACUCAUUUUGAUACAUAUCAAUUUGUAUUUAUAUUUUUUUCCUCCAAAAUCUGCAAAAUAUAAAAAUACAAAUGUAUAGCAAAAUCAAACUAUUGUUGCGAGUUCUAAUUAGUGAAACUGUAGCUAUGGAUUCCUAUUUAAGGGAUAAUGUUUGUUGUUUUUGAAAGUUUUCAAUUUAUUAUUUUUGAGUUAUGAACAAGAGCUUGAAGAAAAAUAAUUUAUUUAUAAUAUCAUAAAUCUCUGAAUAAUUUCAAUAACUCUCCACUACAAGAAACUAGAUAGAAAGUGAAAAACCUAUUCCUAUAUAAAUUUGACGAGAAAAUGGUCAAAUGACCCCCUAAUCUAUAUGCAGAUUUUCAACUACACACUUCAAUUUUAUAGGGGUCCUAUUACCCCAUUAAACUGUUUAAAAUUGAAAUUAUUACACUCUUAAAAUACCACAACCAUAUCUAUGUUGACGGGUGAAACUCACGCAUUUGACACGUGGAAUAUUAUAAAAAACUUUUUUUAUAAAAAAAUUAAUCUUUCUCCUUUUUGAUUUAUUGUUUUAAAUUACAGUUAAAGGUCAUAACAUGAAAGUUUAUGGAUGUAUUUUGAUCUUCAAAUUUGAAACUAGUUGAUGAUGACAUUGUUGGUUGCUAAUUUUUCAAGCUAAAAACACUAAGUUUGAGUUUUUGACUAAGUUUAUUGCUGCAAUUUUUAGAUUUGAAGAACAUUGAAACUCCAUGAAUACCGACGAGCUUUUAUAUGAAAUUUUUAGAUCUAUUUUCUGGAUUGGGAACAACAUUAGCUGGUGUUUUGAAGAGUUUCAUAUGGCAAAAAACGGAAGCUCAUGGUUUAAAAUGUGAACAACCAACUUAAAACCUCCAUUAAAGUUGGUUCAAAAGGCCUGGGUUCAAAUUCGACUUGUCACAAACAAGUAUCGUUUAGAAUGGGUAAUAUAUAAAAAAAAAUCAAAAUGUCGAAAAAAGCUUAUAUCUAAAAUUUUGCUUGAUUUAAAGAAGUUUUAAGGCGAUUUUGCAUCAAUUAUUCAGAGCAACGGGAUGAAGAAGAUGAAGAAUGGCGCUGCAUUUUCAGAUUUGCAGGAAUUUGUCUAGUUGUUAAAAUCAGUUGAAUUUUUUUUUCCAUAGAUCUGUUGGAUAUUGAAUAUAGGAUUAGAAAUUUCCUUAGUAUUACAAUUUCUUAAAGAAAAUUAGUUGAGUGUCACUAUAUUAAGCGUAUUCAAGCUUGAAUUUUGCUUUGAUUUGGAAGAUUUUUGGUGCAUAGUUCUUGAUUGUGGAGAGUGAUGGAUGAAAUUGCUAUAUACGAUUUGUGGUGCAUCGAUUGACAUAGUGAAGAGGGAAGACGAUUGUUUCAAGAUGGUGAGGGGUGAUGAAAUUCAAUGGCGGCCAGUUGCUGGGAGGAAGAAAACAAAUUAAAAAUGAGAUAAGAAUAAUUAAGAAAAAAGAGGAAAAAAUUAAAAAAUAUGAAAAGAAACAUUAAAAUAAAAAUCUAAUUUUUUUUUUUGCUUUGCCAGAUAAGCAUCUAGGGAGGUAAUAAUUUUAAUUGUAAACAGUUCAAGUGGGUAAUAGGACUCCCAUGAACUUAAAGUGUGUAGUUGGAAAUUCGAAUAUAGAUUAGGGAGAUUUUUGACCAUUUUCUCUAAAUUUGACUAUAAGUUCUAUUUAAACAUGAAUUAGAUAAACUAAAACAAGUAUCAAAUCCUAUACAAAAUUAUAUAUAUUCCCUAGUACAACUAUAUGAAUUAGUCUUUCAACAAAUUAAAAUUCUUAAUUCCUAGUACAUCUUUGAAUAAGAGCUUCAUUACUCAUACUAAAAUCUUAAUCAAUAAUACAUAUAGUAUAAUAGGAGGGACAUUUUAGGCUGGCUGCCAAUUGCAAUGGAACUAGCUAGUUCAAAAUAGAUGCAGCUAGAAAACAAUAGGAGUAGUCAUCAUCAUCAAUUAAAGCCUCCCCCAAUAGUUUUCUCCAUUCUCUAGCAAUCUAUUUUAGUUUCUCCCCCAUUUUGUUUGAUUCCUUGACAAUGACUGACAUUUUAUGUGGAAGCCAAGAGGCAAACUAAUGUUUAGGAAAUGCAUGUAUAUAUGUCCAUAGAGCUUGAAGCCUACCCUAACAAAAACAAACGAUUUAGCAGCAAUAAUAUAAUUGUCGCUAUAUUAUAUUUAGUGGCAAUAAUUAAUAUGAGUAUUUAUAACCAACACACUCUAUAUAAAUGUCGCUAAAGACUUUGAAAAGACUCUGAAUGUAGUGACAUCAACUCAAUUGUCAAAAUUUAUUACCGCUAAAUGUUUCGUGGUUAUAGUGCUAUUCAAGUACAAACACGUUUUCUUUCAUUAGCUACAUAUAUUUUCUUGAAUUUAUUGUAUCCGGAGAAUUUUUUUUGAGUAUACAAGAUCGAUCAGAAUUAAUAAUCUUAAGACAAUUGGUAGGUUAGUUCAAAUAAUGUUAAAUAAAAUUCAUUGGAUAUAUUCCCUAGGUGUACCUCCCACGAGAUAUUAUGCUUCAAUCUAUUAUUAGAUCAUGUGCAAACGUCUCACAAUGGGAAGUUGAUAAGAAAGAUUUUUUUUUUACAUACUAUCAGAUAUAGCGAUAUAUUAAUCGUUUGAAAUUAUUUUUGGAGAGAACUAUAAUGGCUAUGCCUAAAUCAUAGCUAAAACUUAUAGCAAUCUAGGUUGAGAAUUUUUUCUUAUAUAUGAUUCAAUAAAGUUAAAAAUUUAAGACAGAUAUAUUAUUACAUGAUAUUCCUAUUUCUAUUUUAGGAUUAGUUCAAUGUUCUCAUUUAAUAAUUUCCACUCAUAUUCAAAAGAAAAAAAUAAUAAUUAACAACUGGCACUAGCACACAGCUGCAUGAAUAUAACUAUGCACAUGCACUAACAUAUAGCUAUUCUAUAAAAAGUUAACUCAAGACUAAAUGCGAGGUGAAUUUGUUAAUUUCAGUAACUCUCAACAAGCUAAAAUGAAGAAUUGAACAAUUCUGAUUAACGGAGAAGAAAGAGAUUCUGCAUUGAUAAAAAAUGUGAAUAUACAAGUCUAACUGAAAAGAUGCUUUACAAUGCUUUAUAUUGAAGCAGCUAGCUAUCUAGCUAUCUAGCUAUCUAACUGAAUAACAAAACUCUAACUAACUUUCUACUGUUAAUUAAAAACUAAUCGUCAGCUCACUAACACUAAUCAAUAGUUGUACACUUAACCAGCUGCUCAACAUCCUCCCUCAAGCUAGGUGUAUGAAAAACAUUCUUCAUUCCUAGCUUGGUAAGUAGAUAGUUAUGCUGCAAACAGGUGAGUCCUUUGGUAAGUAUAUCUGCUGGUUGCUCUGUUGUAUUGAAGUACACUGGUUGAACUAUUCCCAUUUGAACUUUCUCCCUGAUGAAAUGACAAUCAAUAUCUAUAUGUUUAGUUCGUUCAUGAAACACUGGAUUGGCAGCUAUCUAUAUAGCUGAUUUGCCGUCACUGUGUAUGUGUAUUGGCAACCUCACUUGAACCCCUAGUUCUUUAAAGAGACCAACCAACCACACAACCUCUGCAACUGUAGAAGCCAAGCUCCUAUACUCAGCUUCAACUUAGCUCCUUGAAAUAGUGUCCUAUUUCUUGGCCUUCCAUGAAAUCAGUGAGUUCCCAUAUGUAACCAUGUAUCCUGUUAUGGACUUCCUAUUGUUUGGGCAUGAUGCCCAAUCUGCAUCACAAUAUGCAGUAAGGUGAUUGUCAGCAGUAGAUGCCAGCAGCUUCAACAGAUGCUUGAGAUAUUACAGGGAUGCAGCCCUCAAAGCAGUGUCAACAUGUCAGGUAAUUCCAACUCUCAUUUGAAGUGGAUCAUAGAUACAGGGGCCUCAGAUCACAUGAUAAAUAAUCAUCAUUAUUUGAUUAAUGAGAACAUAGUAAAUAGUAGAGGGAAGGUGCAGCUACCUACAGGAGAAUCUGCCAUAGUUUCACAUAUUGGAAGUAUACAGCUAAAUGAAUGUGACAUGAUUAGCGAAGUCCUGUGCAUACCAACAUUCAAGUUUAACAUGUUGUCUGUACACAAACUGAAAAAGAGUUAAACUGCUAUGUUUCCUUUUUCCCUACUCACUGUGUUUUUCAGGAUCUCUUGUCUGGGAAGGUCAAGGGGAUUGGUAGAGUAGAAGAUGGAUUGUAUGUGAUGCACUUGUCACGCCCCGAGCCUACACCUUGUCGUGAUAUAGGAAGCUAACUUUAUUAAGUGGAUCCACUAGCUUAACUUUACGGGUUCAUCUAAAAAGUAUGACCCGUUAACUCCCAUGUUGGCUACAUGGUUCUUAUGGAGAGUUGAGUUUAAUAUGAACUCGCGUCCCCAAAUCGGUGCUCGAUACUACUCCCAAAAUACUUUAGCUCAUAAGUGUUUUAAAGACAUCUUUCUUUAAUUGAGAUAAUUACUCAAAAUCUAGCCCAAAGGCUCUUUUGGAAUCAUAGUUCCUUUUUCUUGAAAACUCUUUCUAAAAGACAUCUCAAAAUCAUAUUUUAAUAUGAUCAUUGAUGACUCGGGAUAUUCAUACUGCUUAAACAUUGAUGGUAUAUCUAGAGACCAUACUGUUUAAACAUUGAUGACAUACUCGAUUUGCCAUACUAAUCAUGUUUUAGAAACUCUUUUGCAAAACUCAUCUUUGCUCAAAAGAGAUAGUACUCAAACUUCUCAAAACUUUUUUGGAAAUCUCAGUUUCCUCUCAUCUUAAAUGUGAAAACAUUUAUAAACUUCUUUGGGAAUACUUAGUUCCCUAAUAGCUUUUGAGAAAUGAACUCAACUCUUGACUCUUGACUCUUGACUUAACUCGAAACUCUUGACUUAACUUGAAACUCUAUAUUUAACUUGAAACUUGAGCCUUAAGACAAAGCUAAAACAUUCAAUAACGACUCUUGAAAAGCUUUAACGACAUCGCCUUGACUUGCUUAACUUCUAAGCUUAACUCUUAACUNNNNNNNNNNNNNNNNNNNNNNNNNNNNNNNNNNNNNNNNNNNNNNNNNNNNNNNNNNNNNNNNNNNNNNNNNNNNNNNNNNNNNNNNNNNNNNNNNNNNNNNNNNNNNNNNNNNNNNNNNNNNNNNNNNNNNNNNNNNNNNNNNNNNNNNNNNNNNNNNNNNNNNNNNNNNNNNNNNNNNNNNNNNNNNNNNNNNNNNNNNNNNNNNNNNNNNNNNNNNNNNNNNNNNNNNNNNNNNNNNNNNNNNNNNNNNNNNNNNNNNNNNNNNNNNNNNNNNNNNNNNNNNNNNNNNNNNNNNNNNNNNNNNNNNNNNNNNNNNNNNNNNNNNNNNNNNNNNNNNNNNNNNNNNNNNNNNNNNNNNNNNNNNNNNNNNNNNNNNNNNNNNNNNNNNNNNNNNNNNNNNNNNNNNNNNNNNNNNNNNNNNNNNNNNNNNNNNNNNNNNNNNNNNNNNNNNNNNNNNNNNNNNNNNNNNNNNNNNNNNNNNNNNNNNNNNNNNNNNNNNNNNNNNNNNNNNNNNNNNNNNNNNNNNNNNNNNNNNNNNNNNNNNNNNNNNNNNNNNNNNNNNNNNNNNNNNNNNNNNNNNNNNNNNNNNNNNNNNNNNNNNNNNNNNNNNNNNNNNNNNNNNNNNNNNNNNNNNNNNNNNNNNNNNNNNNNNNNNNNNNNNNNNNNNNNNNNNNNNNNNNNNNNNNNNNNNNNNNNNNNNNNNNNNNNNNNNNNNNNNNNNNNNNNNNNNNNNNNNNNNNNNNNNNNNNNNNNNNNNNNNNNNNNNNNNNNNNNNNNNNNNNNNNNNNNNNNNNNNNNNNNNNNNNNNNNNNNNUUUCCGGACGGAUUCCCUGCCAACUGCCCAACUUCCAAAGGGAAUAACUCACUCAUACGAACUCGGAAUUGAGCAAACUCGGUGGCGUUGGAAAGACCAUUCCACGAGAUUUGUAACCAUAAUUGGAACUACACCUAACUCAUCCUGAGCUAGAAGUUAUGGCUGCUCAAAGUUGGCCCAAAAACUCACCUUUUCCAUACUUAGCCAAAAUUUUCCAGAUUUUUAAAUUCCUUCCAAAAAUAGUUAAUUCCAAUUCAAAGCCUCUUCAUAGCUAUUUCAAAUUGUCAAAUGUUACAACACUGGCCAGUAAAGCAACCAAAUGUGAAGAGCCACACAAUGUCUACAGUUAAGGAGGGAACUACAGAUCCAGGACUUUGGCACAAGAGACUAGGACAUGUUCCUAUGGGAGUACUUAGAAGAAUAAAUGAGUUUAAAACUAGUAAUAGUUUUACUAUUGAUCAUUGUAUUGUUUGUCCACAAGCUAGAUAGACUAAGAUUCCAUUUUCUCAGAGUAGUACCACAGUAGAUAAUAUCUUUGACUUGGUGCAUAUGGAUGUCUGGAGUCCAGACAAAGUGACUACUCACAAUGGUAUGAGAUAUUUUCUCACCCUAGUUGAUGAUAAGUCUAGAUGGACAUGGACCUUCUUGCUUAGUUUGAAGUCUGAUGUAAUUGUUGUAUUGAAACAAUUUUUGGCAAUGAUAAAUAAUCAGUUUGGAAAGUGUGUUAAGGUGUUCAGGUCAGAUAAUGGAGGUGAAUUUUUGAAUUCUAGUUGUUGUGAAUUAUUUGUGUCUCUUGGGAUCAUUCAUCAGAAAUCAUGUCCACACACUCCACAACAAAAUGGAGUUGCAGAAAGGAAGCAUAGACAUUUAUUAGAGACUGCCAAGGCAAUCAAAUUCCAAAGUUAUUUGCCAGAUAGGUUCUGGGGAGAGUGUAUAGAAGUUGCAACCUACAUUAUCAGUAGGAUCCCUCUAUCUGUUCUGAAAAAAAAGUCACCAUAUGAAUUAUUUUAUGGUAAACAACCUUCAUUGUCACACCUCAGGGUGAUAGGUUGUCUUGUUUUUGCUACAGACUUGAACAUGCAUGAUAAAUUUGCACCAAAGGCAAGGAAAGUUGUCUUGCUUGGUUAUGCUACUAGCCAAAAGGGAUAUAAACUACUGGAUAUUGAAUCCAAAAUACAUUUUUAUCAGCAGAGAUGUCAUAUUUCAUGAGGAUGUGUUCCCCUUUCAAACUUCAGGUCUUGGACAAGAAAAGGAUCAAGUUGUUUCAUUGUCUUAUUCACAUGUUGAAGAUUGUGACCUUACACCUUGUGUUGUAUUCAGAAAUACAGUAGAUGCCCUUGAAACUGUAACUCAACAAGCUGUUGUACCUGACUCCUUUUGUCAUGGUUCAAUCAUUGAAUUUGAAGAUCAGGUACCCUUGGUUUCUUCUCCUGAACCAAGCAUUUUACCAACUCAGUUACCUGUUGCUGCCAGAAGAUCUAACAGACCUGCAAAGCCCCCACUCUGGCAUACAGAUUACAUUUUGUCAAAGAACAAAGCUGCAGGUUAUUGCUCCUAUCCUAUUACAGAUGUGCUGGACUACCAAAGCAUCACACUUGCCUACAAAAGCUUUGCACUAAGUUUUCACAAGAGAAGGAACCUGCUUCUUAUCAGGAGGCUAUACAAGAUCCUAGAUGGAUUGCAGCUAUGGAAUGUGAAAUACAAGCAUUAGAAGACAAUCAUACAUGGGAGAUUACUACACUGCCUAAGGAUAAGAGGGCAAUAGGCUGUAAAUAGGUGUACAAGAUCAAAUAUAUGGCUGAUGGGGAAGUUGAUAGGUUCAAAGCAAGGUUGGUAGCCAAGGGUUACAAUCAAAAGGAAGGUUUGGACUAUCAGGAAACUUUUUCUCAUGUUGUAAAAAUGGUGACUGUUAGAUCAGUCAUAGCCUUAGCAGUUGCACAACAUUGGCAAGUACACCAAAUGGAUGUAUUCAAUGUUUUUCUUCAAGGUGAUCUGACUGAAGAAGUUUACAUGGAUUUGCCCUUGGGGUUUGUCCAUCAAAGUGAGAGGGGGACAUGGACAGUAUGCAAGCUUACAAAGUCACUUUAUGGACUUAAACAGGCCAGCAGAUAGUGGAAUAUCAAGUUGACCACAGCCUUAGCUAACUCAGGCUUCCAGCAGAGUCAUUAUGAUUAUUCCUUGUUCACAAAAUAUCAAGGAGAAAAGAUAGUGAUGGUACUUGUUUAUGUUGAUGACCUAUUGAUAACAGGUAAUGAUCACAAGUUGAUCUUGGAAACAAAGAAGAUUCUUCAAGACAACUUUAAGAUUAAAGAUCUAGGUGAGCUGAGAUACUUCCUAGGAAUUGAAUUUGCUAGAAACAGCAAUGAGAUCCUUAUGCAUCAAAGAAAAUAUUGCCUUGAACUGAUUUCAGAUAUGGGGCUAUCUAGUUCAAAGCCUGUAGGUUCUCCUGUUGAGUUGAAUCAGAAACUUACAACUGCAGAAUUUGAUUUACACUUCCCUCCUACUGAUGAGCAGGAUAAGUUGUUGAGUGAGCCUGAAAUUUAUCAGAAAUUGGUUGGUAGAUUGCUUUAUUUGACAAUGACAAGGCCAGACAUUGCAUUUGCAGUGCAACUGCUGAGUCAAUUUAUGCACAGUCCUAAGACAUCCCACAUGAAGGCAGCAUUAAGGGUGGUGAGGUAUGUUAAACAAUCACCAGGCUUAGGGAUACUUAUGGCAUCUACUGCUGACAAUCACUUUACUGCAUAUUGUGAUGCAGAUUGUGUGUGUUAUCUUGUCCAUAGGGACCUGCAUAUAAGUGUAUUGUUGUUGUGAAUGCACUGAUCCUCCUCCAAUAACUGCAUUGACCUUCUUCCUUCCUUUGAAAUUUUCAGGAUAUCCAAUUAGCAAGUAACAAUUCUCCUUCACAUGUCCAGUUGUAUGGCAAUGAUCACAUUUUUUGAGCUUGUUGCAAUCUUCCCUAACAUGUCCUUUCAUAUUACAGAAGUCACAAUAAAGAGACUGAUAAUUCUUCCUUGGAUUCUACCUAUUGUUGAAUUAUUGUGGUCGACUUGUCCUAUUUGUAUACAUUGCCAAAGACUCCAUUCCUUCAUUGAUAUUGCCAACAAUCCCCUUUUGACAUUCAUCCUGUAUGACUAAAGCAUAGGCUUGGUUCACAUUAGGCAAAGUGUGCAUCAUGAGGAUUUGACCUCUUGCUUGUGAAUAGCUAUCAUUCAAGCCCAUCAUGAAUUGAAGUAAACGCUGAUAUUGCAUUUGUUCCACAUACUCCUUAGACUUAGAACAAUCACAACUAGGUGGAGGCAGAAUAAAAUAAUACUCAUCCCACAAGUUUUUCAAUUUUGUGUAAUAAGCAGAAACAGACAAAACUCCCUGUGUAAGCGUAAAUAUACUUCUAUGCAACUGAUACAAUCUCGAUCCAUUGACCUUAUCAAAUCUCUCUUUGAGAUCAAUCCAUACUUGAUGUGCACUAGAGGAAUAAAUGAUUCCACUAAGCAGUUCCUUACUCACGUUAUAUGUAAGCCAAGAGAUGACGAUAGCAUUGCAGCGAUCCCAAAUCUUCUUCAAUUCUCCUUCGAAAUCAAUACGCAGCACAUAUCCAUCGAUAAAUCCUAAUUUGUUCCUUCCAAGCAGUGCGAUCUCCAUUGUUCGACUCCAAAUUAUGUAAUUCUCCAUUCCGGUCAAUUGAAUCCCAAUCGAUAAAGCUCUUGGCACAUCAGAAGAACUCAAGUACAACAGAUGAUUAUGAUCAAGAGUAACUGAGCUUCCAUUAAUGGUGUCUACUGUUGCUCUGCCACUCGAUCCUCCUGCAGAUGCAUCCUCAAUCGCUAUGAAUUAAUUCCUGCAAACUUUGAUACAACAAAGCUGUAAAAUCCUUAGAACUAAGCCCUCGAAAUCGUUCCCAAUUGCUUUGAUACCAUGUUAAUUUCAGUAACUCUCAACAAGCUAAAAUGAAGAAUUGAACAAUUCUGAUUAACGGAGAAGAAAGAGAUUCUGCAUUGAUAAAAAAUGUGAAUAUACAAGUCUAACUGAAAAGAUGCUUUACAAUGCUUUAUAUAGAAGCAGCUAGCUAUCUAACUGAAUAACAAAACUCUAACUAACUUUCUAUUGUUAAUUAAAAACUAAUCGUCAGCUCACUAACACUAAUCAAUAGCUUUACACUUAACCAGCUGCUCAACAGAAUUAACGUGCAAUUUAUCUUUUGCUUUGAGAUCACAAACAAAUGAAUAUAUCUAAUUAAGCAUUUGAGGAAAAUCUUGCUUAUGAAAAGAAUAUACUACUAAUCUACUAUUAGAAGUAGACUAUAUUAUAUAAGUAUUAUAAAGAGUAAUGCUAAAUGGCCAGAAAAUUUGGCAAGAAAUUUAAAAAGUCCAUAAUAUCCUUUUUAUUUUAAAAUAAAUUGAUCUUUUUUCCAUUUUUUAAUUAAAAGGUAUUAAAGUUAAAGGGUAAAAAUAUUCAAAAAAAUAAAAUAACAUAGUAUGAAAUAUGUAAUUUUACCAUUCUGACCAAAUUUUCUGGUCAAAAGGAUUUUUCCUUUUAGAGAUUACGUAUGAUAAAUGGGGUGGAAAUUAAGGUACACCAUUCUUUAAUUAUUUGACUAGCUAGACUAGCAUGCAUGUCAAUUCGGAGUUUUAAUUAUUUAAUUUAGUUUAACUAUAUUUUUUUCCCGAUUUUCUAUGAACAUUAGGGUCCGUCUAACUAGAUUUGCACUGAAAAGUUCCAUGUUGGGAGUAAAAGAAUUCCUAAAAAUAGCGAUUUCAUUUGUGAUAAAACUCAAAUUCGUGACCGUUGGUUAAGAAUAAAGAGCUAGGUAUGUACUCCACUGCAAGUACCUUUAGUAAUUUUAGUUUUAUUUAGUCCAAGAGAGUGGCUCAUUUGAUCUCGAAGUAAUAAAUUAGUAAUAUUUUCCUAUUAUAAGUCAAAGUCGUUCACGCACGCUUCGAUACCAAUGUUAGGUUCAAUGAAAUAUUAAAGUUUAUGCACUUGCUGUGUAGUUAGACUAAUUAAUUAAUAUAUUCAUUAAUUAAUCCCAUUGGCAUAUUGUAAUGACUUUCAAAUCUAAGAAGUAUUGAGAAUGUAUUUAUACGUAUGCAGUUAGUAUAGUAUAGUCAGUCAUAUUAAUUAGUCAUGUUAAUUCAGUUUGAUUGGUUAGUUGUAGUUUGUUAGAACUGUCAGUUUGUUAUUCAGUUAGUCAUGAACUUGUUAGGUGCUAUAAAUACACAUGUACAUGUAUGUAAUCAUUUGCGAAGUCUUAUUCAAAAAUACAGUUUUCUCUCUUCUUCCCUGUAUUGACUUUUCCCUCAUAUGUGAGUUCCUCCAUUGAUGCUAACAUUCAAAGCUUGAGAACCAGUUAUGAAUUGUUGAAAUUAACAUGAUAUCAGAGCCUAUCAUCGAUAUUUCUAGCUUCCUCUGUUUCUCAGCUUUCUAGCAAUUAUUAGCUAUUUUUAGCUUGUUAGUUUCUCUUCGUUUACUUCUUCUACUAAACUCACAAUGUCUGCUACUGCUGCUGCUACGUUACCUGCAAUUGCUACUGCUGGAUCUACUUCCAUUGAUAUGAGUGAUCCUUUUUAUGUACAUCCAUCUGAUAACCCUGGAUCAUUGAUUGUUCCCGUUCCUUUUGAUGGAAUGGGCUAUCGAUCCUGGAGAAGAAGCAUCCUCCGAUCUCUUUCAGUGAAGAACAAAUUGGGAUUUGUUACUGGAGAUUGUAAGAAGCCUGCUGCAAAUUCUUCCCUAUUGCAUCUUUGGUAGAGAUGCGAUGACAUGGUGACGUCUUGGAUUCUGAAUUCUCUUGCCAAAGAGAUUGCAGACAGUGUUGAGUACGUUAACGAUUCAGUUGAAUUGUGGAAAGAGUUGGAGGAUCGUUAUGACCAGGCCAAUGGUGUGAAAUUGUAUCAACUUCAAAAGAAGAUCAAUGACCUGAAUCAAGGCGUGUUGGACAUCACUUCCUACUACACCAAGAUGAAGAAGCUAUGGGAAAAACUCAACAAUUUGAUCGCCAAAGCUCAAUGAACUUGUGCCUGUGUUUGUGGUGCCAAGGAUAGCACACACAAAGCUGAACAAGACAGGCGUCUAAUUCAGUUUUUAAUGGGUCUAAAUGAAGUCUACACUAUCGUCUGAGGCAGUGUUCUUAUGAUGAAUCCCCUGCCCUCAAUGGCACAGGCUUUUUCAAUACUGAUACAUGAAGAGAAACAAAUAGAAUUUAAACCUAGAAGCCAGAUGUUAAUGGACUUUGUCUCUCUUAAUGCAGGUUCUUCUAACCCAAGGAAUUUUAAGACAAGUUAUUCCACAGGGAAUGGCAACCAGAACAAGGGAAACUUUAUCUGUGAAUACUGUAAACGACCAGGACACACUGUUAGCAAAUACUACAAGCUGCAUGGAUAUCCCCCGGACAAUUCUCAGUCCACUAGUACUCAAAAUGCAGGUUACAACAGGAACAAUCAGAGGUACAAUAACUCUAGGCCCAACAAAAACAACAAUAACAACAGGAUUGCAGCAAAUGCUCAUGGGCCUUCUGGUGAUGAAAUGUCUGGGAAGGGUGAAAAUGAUAGCAAAGAAGAACAACCUCUAAGUCUCACUAAGGAAUAAUAUGGACAUGUGAUGAACCUGCUUCAACAUUUCCAAAGCAGUGAGGGCUCCAACAUCCCCAAUCUUGCAAGUGGAGCAGUAAACUUUCCAGGUAUUGUGGUUUGCACCUCUUCUAUAGAUUUUGAGAAACUUUCAUGUAUACAUUUUAAAUCAAAGGCUGACUUGUGGAUUAUAGACUCGGGAGCUUCCAAUCAUAUAACUUUUAACCAAGCCUCAUUAUCAAAUCCUAAGACCCUACCAUACCCUUUACUUGUUUCACUCCCUAAUGGAUACAAAGUGAAAGUAACACAAACUGGUGAUGUAGUACUCACACCUAACAUCAUUUUGCAUAAUGUGUUGUUUGUACCAUCCUUUAAAUAGAAUUUGAUUUCAGUCCAUUCCUUAGUGACAAAUCUCAAAGGUGUUAUGUCUUUUACUGAUGCCUUUUGCUUGUAUCAGGCCCCUUUACUGAAGAGGCCUCAGGUGAUUGGUAGGAGUAGAGAUGGACUCUAUUUUCUAUGUUCAAGAUGCUUGACAACUGACUCCAAGCACUGCUUACCUGGAAAAUCUUUUAAUUCUUUCAAUUCUGAUUCCAGUAGUCUGCAAACUGCUGUAACUGGAAAAUCUUUCAAUUCUUUCAAUUCUAAUUCUAGUAGUAUGGAAACUGUUGUAAUGGAUUCUGUAAACUCCCUUUCAAGUAAUAAAAAUGAGUUACAUUUUGUGAAUUCUUGUUUGUCUCUUGAAACUAAUGAAGAUUUAUUAUGGCACACUAGACUAGGCCAUGUACCUUUUGGUCAAAAUGAGGGCUAUCCCAUCCAUACCAGCCAAAUUUUCCCAGAAACAACCUUUUCUAUACACUGUCUGUCCUAUGGCUAGACAGACCAGGUUACCUUUCCCUCAAAGUACCAAAACCACAAGCAAGAUUUUUGAGCUUCUUAAUGUAGAUUUGUGGGGUCCCUGUCAUGUAUCUACUCAUGAUAAUUAUAAGUAUUUUCUGACUACGGUGGAUGACCAUAGCAGAUCCACAUGGACUCACCUUUUGAGCUGCAAAAGCAAUGCAUUACAGACUAUAAAAGCCUUUGCCACCAUGAUUGAAAACUAGUUUUCUACCUCUCUCAAAAGCAUUAGGAUAGACAAUGGGCUCGAAUUCACUAGUAAUGAAGCACUCUCAUUUUUCCAGUCAAAGGGCAUAAUUCAUCAGAAAACUUGCCCAUACACACCACAGCAAAACAGUGUGGUGGAGAGAAAGCAUAAAUAUCUCCUUGAAACUGCUAGAGCCCUUCUUUUCCAAUCCAAAUUACCUUUAAAAUAUUGGGGGAGUGUGUAUUGACUGCUACACAUCUUAUAAACAGACUUCCUACAUCUUAUAAACAGACUUCCUACAUCUUAUCUGAAUAAUAAAUGCCCUUUUGAAGUCCUAUAUAAGAAACAACCAAACUAUUCUUACCUUAGGAGCUUUGGUUGCCUUUGCUACCCUACUAUUCCUAAGGUGCAUAGAGAUAAGUUUGAACCAAGAACAAACCCCCAUGUUUUUGUAGGAUACCCCUUUGGGACAAAAGGAUACAAGGUACUGUGUCUAACUACCAAAAAGAUACAUGUUUCUAGAGAUGUGGUCUUUCAUGAAAAUGUUUUCCUUUUCGCUUCAUCUUUACACAAAGGCACUUUUCCUUCUGUUUUGAAUUCCAUUCCUUUCAUACAACCACACACUAAUGCAUAUGAUGUUGUAGACUGUGAUACUACUGAUAACAUUUUAUCUCAACCUAUAUCACCACUGCCUAAUAAUAAUGACAUCAUCGAGCCUCCUUUACCUCAGGAAUUGCCUUCCUCUUUGCUCCCAGGACCAGGAGACACAGUUAGACGAUCACAUAGAAACCACCAAGUACCUAAACAUUUAAAUGACUAUUUCUAUUCCUUACCCUCACAUAAAACUAUCAAUACAGCAGCCACUACUCCCACAUUGCAACCUCCCAUCAUGCCACUAAAUGCCAUUUUCUCAAAUAAUAGCCAUGUUGCUCCUGAAACCUUGAGUCUCAAUAAUCAAUUACUUGUUCAAAAUGUAUGUCAUGACAGUGAACCAUAAUCUUAUGAAGAAGCAUCACUUUAUCCUGCUUGGCAAGCUGCUAUGACACAAGAAUUUGAGGCCCUUCACAAUAAUAAAACUUGGGAUCUGGUUCCUUUGCCAGUUGGGAAGAAAACUAUUGGUUGUAAAUGGGUGUACCAAGUCAAACAUAAAGCUGAUGGUAGUGUGGAGAUAUAAGGCACGAUUGGUAGUAAAGGAGUAUACUCAACAAACAGGCAUAGACUAUACUGAGACUUUCUCUCCUGCAGUGAAGAGAGGUUGGGACAUUUUCCAGUUAGAUGUUAAUAAUGCCUUCUUACAUGGAGACCUCGAUGAGGAGGUUUACAUGGACCUACCCCCUGGUCUUGAGGUAACUAGUUCCCCUGCAGUAUGUAAAUUGAACAAGUCACUUUAUGGCUUGAAACAGGCCAGCAGACAGUGGUAUGAGAAACUGUCAGAGGCUCUCUUUUCAAAGGGUUACACCCACUCCAUAAGUGACUAUUCCUUAUUUCUGAAGAAAUCCAAUCAUUCUUCUAUUUUUGUAGCAGUAUAUGUAGACGAUGUGAUCAUCACUGGGACUAAUCCAUCAGAUAUUCUUCAACUCAAGCAGUUCCUUCAUGACACCUUCAAAAUUAAGGAUCUUGGUAAACUUCAUUAUUUUUUAGGUCUGGAGAUAUUGUAUGGAGAGAGAGGUAUCAUAAUGUCCCAAAGGAAGUUUAUCUUAGAUUUACUCAAGGAAUAUGGUUGUCUCCAAUACUCCAGCUUCUCUUCUCUACCUGAUCUAAAUGUUAAACUGAAAGCCAAAGAAGGCAUUGUUCUGUCUGAUCCUACAUUCUAUAGAAAAAGUGUAGGCAAGUUGAAUUUCCUUGUCAACACCAUAUUAGAGAUAGCUUAUGGUGUCCAACAUUUAAGUCAGUUCAUGCAAGAUCCCAGAGAACCCCACAUGCAAGCCACUUAUCACUUACUCAGAUACCUCAAGAAUGAUCCAACCUUAGGGAUCUUUAUGUCUUCAACCCCAGACUACUCAGUUCAUGCCUAUUGUGAUUCGGAUUAGGCAAGAUGUCCUGAUUCUCGAAGGUCUGUCUCUGGUUACAUUGUACUUUUGGGGAAAACACCUAUCAGCUGGAAGUCUAAGAAACAAGAAACUAUUUCCUUAUCUUCAGCAGAUAUCUCACUUUUUUUAUGUUCACAAUUGUAAGGGGACCAAUGUAAGAGAGUGUGAGUAGGAUAUUCAUUUAAAUGGCGGAACCUAACUCAUAUCUCACAUUACCUUAAACAGAGACAUCUAUGGGACAGAGAAUUCAACACCUAAUUCUAACGGUAUACUCCUAUUUCAAUUAAUUUACUCUACUUCUUUUAUUUUAAAAAAUAAGUGUUCAUUUAACUAAUUUUAAAAGGAGACAUUUAGUAUUUGCAGUAACGGUAGAAAUAUCAAAUUAUUAAACCAUACUAUGAAGAUUUAAGAAGAAGGAACUAAAUAUGAUAGGGAUCAUGUCUAUUUUCGAUAACCAGUUUGAAUGAAUCAUGGUGUGACGUAUAGGAGACCGGUGAAACAAUGUAAGAAAAGGAACAUGGACUUCACAUGGUGGUCAUUGACUUAAAAAAAAUUAUUGACAAGACUCUGAGGGAGGUUCUAUAGAGGUGCAUGGAUACCAAAGGCGUUUUCAUUUUAUAUAUCGAAAUAGUUUAUCUUCCUGAAUAAACUGAUUUUUUUAUUUCGAUCCCGAACUAUUCAAAUUUCUUUUAAGCUGUUACAAAUUUUAGAGAUGAGCUCCUAUUAACAUUUUGAAUUUUUUGAUAUCUUAUUCACUCAAAAUAAUUCAUAUUUACGACAUGUAAGAGUUUUAAAAUUUGUGUUAAGCGCUGAAUAUAUAAAGAAUUAUUUGCUUGACUAUUAUUAAUACAAUAAAACAAAAUAGCGGUUGGUGAAAAAAGUGUCGGAAAUGAUAGAUUUUCUUAGGUCUAGGAAAGGGGAAACUGUGAAGAUUUCUGAAAUUCUGUUUGGUAUCAUUUAAAACACGUUAGGGAACCUUUUCUUUUCAAAAGAUUUAUGUCAUUUGGAUUAUGAAAGAAACACCAGUGAGAUCAAACGUGUUUUUAGUAAAUUUAUAGAAUUGGGAGCUAUGCCAAAUAUAUCCCUUCUUGAUUCCUCGUCGUGCUCCUGAGACGUGUAAGAUUAUGAAUUACACCAUCCCCAAAGAACUCGAAGUUGUUUGUGAAUGUUUACGCAAUAGGGGGUGACCCCAAAAAAACAAAUACUCUUUCUGUCUUUCCUUUUACACGCAUAUUAAAAAAUUAUAAAUAAAAAAAUAAUUUUAUUAAUUCAUUUCAAAAAAGAAAUUUAAUUGAUGUUUUCUUAAUUUAGUAAGUUAAACAACUAGUUCAUUUGUCCCUAAUUACUUGUCCGCUUUUCUUUUUUAAGUUAUUCUUAAUUAUUUGUCCAUUUAGACAAAUCAAGAAACGAUAAAAUUGUUUUACCUAUUAUACCCUUAAUUAAUUACUUUGAAAAUGUAGAAUUAUUUGAAUGUUUUAAGUUUUAAUUCAUCCAUUUCAUAAUUAAUAAGGAUAAAUUGAUAAACUUAAUAUGUCAAUAAUUAUUUUCUUAAUAGGUGUGCCAAUUUUAAACAUGGACAAGUAAUUAGGAAUAGAAGAGUAUUUUUACUUCAAAAGUAAAAUAAUCAACUAAUAUGAAAAGUGAGUGUUUAGUUCGGCAUGAUUACCGUGGAAGAAAAUCACAUGCCGGGAUUUUGGAAACAUCUUUAAGUUUCUUAAAGUUAUUUAGGAAGGAAAGUAAACUAUAUUUAGAUGGAUGAGUAAGAACCUCUUUGGAUUGAUUUAAAAAAUAGCUUAAAGUUAAAAACUAAAGGUCAAAUUGAAAUGACUUUUAAGUUAAAAAAUAAAAAGUAGGGGGGGUGGGGAUACUUUUAGUUUUUAACUUAUUUUAAGUUCUUUUUUUUCUUCGCCAAACACUUUCAGAAAAUCAAAUAUUGACUUAAAAGUAGGUUUGACAAACUUUUAAACCAAACCACACCCUCUAAGUCAACUUCAAUUAUUUGUAUAAUAUUCUCUUGUUCAAUAUAAACAAUAAAAAAAAUAUUAAAAACGUGACUGGAUAUUAAUUAAAUAAAAAUUAAUUAAUAUAUUCUUUUUGAUUCUUCUAAAAAAUAUAGAUAAUCAUUAUUUGGAAUUUAAAAAUACUUGAAAACUUUAUAACUAUUAUUUCAAAAAAAAGGGUAAUUCUAAUUUUUUAAAAAAUGAAUAAUACAUUUUUAUUUUUUUAAGAAAAUCAUUCAUGAACUAUAAGAAAAAUGUUAACAAAGUCGGUAUAAUAUUCUCUUUUUACGUUGAAAACUGUCGUCGUUUUGCUCCCUUACACUUUGUUUUAGAUGAUUGUUCUGAAAAAUCGUAUUGUACUGUUUUAAUAAAUACAUUGUUUGAACAGAUUGUAUCGGUCUCUAUUGUAAGAUAAUGUCACAUAUCCAUAAUUUGAAUGAUAAAUCUAUAUAAAUAAAUAAAAAAUGAAUAGAGCUACUAUGAAAAGAUAGGGAUAAAAAAUGAAAUACGACUAUUAAAUAAUAAUUAAUAAAUAAAAAUAAAAUGCAAAGAAAGUAUUUUGGUAACAAUGUGAUUACACCAAAUGGAUCGUUAUAUAAAAUGAGUAUUUUCUUCAUUAGCUAAGAAUGAAUUUUAAUGAUACAAUACAAUUUAAUACAAUACAAGUCAACCAUUAAUGACUUAAACUACUAUACUUAUAUAUGGGUAUGGCAAUAGACAAUCUUCUCAUCAUACUUGCAUGUGUUAUUUGGUAUGUUAUUGUUGUCAAAUAUAUCAGAUUUCUAUCCUCUAUUUGAGGCUCUAGAUCUGCAGGGAUUGAGAAAGCAGACGGAAAUAUAUCAGAGUCAAUUGAUCAAUAUCUGGAGUGAAAUUGUAAAGGAAAAAAGGCAGGCAAUUAGCAGUCAUAGCUCGGAUAUUUUGGAUGUCAUGAUUGAUAGUGGAUUCCCAGAUUUACAGAUCAUGAAUAUCUUAGUGACAGUAAUAUCUCAACUUUUUAGAACCAAUAUACUCUGGUUUCAAAUAGAUGUGAAAUUUUUAGGCAAAACUAAUUGAGGCUGACAUGACACAAUCUUGUUCUUGAAUUUCAGGAAUUAGUGGGUGCGGGUUCUAACACCACAACCUCAACAAUUGAAUGGGCAAUGAUAGAGUUGCUGAGGAACAAGGGUGCUAUGCACAAAUUUCAGGCUGAGCUUACAAGUAAUUUAAGGGAAACUGAUAUAAUCACAGAAUCAAACAUCAGUGAACUUCCAUAUUUGGCUGCUAUUGUCAAGGAGACAUUGAGAAUCCAUUCACCUACUCCCUUCUUGAUUCCUCGUCGUGCUGCUCCUGAGACGUGUAAGANNNNNNNNNNNNNNNNNNNNNNNNNNNNNNNNNNNNNNNNNNNNNNNNNNNNNNNNNNNNNNNNNNNNNNNNNNNNNNNNNNNNNNNNNNNNNNNNNNNNNNNNNNNNNNNNNNNNNNNNNNNNNNNNNNNNNNNNNNNNNNNNNNNNNNNNNNNNNNNNNNNNNNNNNNNNNNNNNNNNNNNNNNNNNNNNNNNNNNNNNNNNNNNNNNNNNNNNNNNNNNNNNNNNNNNNNNNNNNNNNNNNNNNNNNNNNNNNNNNNNNNNNNNNNNNNNNNNNNNNNNNNNNNNNNNNNNNNNNNNNNNNNNNNNNNNNNNNNNNNNNNNNNNNNNNNNNNNNNNNNNNNNNNNNNNNNNNNNNNNNNNNNNNNNNNNNNNNNNNNNNNNNNNNNNNNNNNNNNNNNNNNGUCAGUCCCGCCCAGGGUGUAGGCUCGGGGUGUGACAAUAAAUUUAAUGCUAAAUAGAGUAUAUUAGUAAUGUUUGAUUAAUAAUGCUUGUAUUAAUUAGUAAUGCUUGUAUCAAUUAUAGAUAGAUUAUUUUUAUGCAUUGUUUAAUUAGGUGCAUUAAAAAUAACAUGUAUUGCAUAAAAAAAAUUAUUUACAAAGAUACUCUUCACAAUUAUGGUGGAAAAGAUUAAAAAAAAGUUUUAAGGGGCAAUUGGGUCUUUAACCAUGCUAAUGCAUGCAUUAAAACCAUUGCAUUACUAAUACCUAGAAUCCAUGAUAUUAGUAAUAGUGUAAUACACACUUUAAUACACAAUAGAGUGUAUAACUAAUGUUUAUAUUAGUUAUAAAUAGGUUAGAAAAAAAUACCAAACAAGGUAUUAAUAAAACAUAAAGUAAUAAUUUCUAUUUCUAGCUUUAUUAUUAUAUAUAAAUUUGGCGAUAAAUUAUUGUUCAAUAUUAAAGUCUCACAUUAGUUAAAUGUAUGAGAUUCAGUUUUGUUAUAUGGUGGAGAUGUGAGACAAGUGAUCAAGUUAUUUAUAUGUUAUAUUAAGAAAAUGAAUAGAUUAAAGAAUAUGUAAAAAGACUAUUUUUUUUGUAUUUUAGUUUCUGGCUAAUACACGUAGAGUGUAUUAGGAAAAAUAAUGCAUGCAUUAGCUUUGUGUAUUACUAUAAAUAAUGCUUGCAUAAAUUAAACACUCUAUUGUGUAUUAAGGUGUGCAUUACUAAUACCAUGAAUUUCUAGGUAUUAGUAAUGCAUGCAUUAGCAUUUUAAAGACACAAAUACCCUUCAAAAAUACUUUUACAUAUUUUUCACCAUAAUUAUGGAGGAUAUUUUUGUAAAUAAAUAUUUGUGUGCAAUACAUGCUAUUUUUAAUGCUACCAAACCAAACAAUGUAUAAGAAAUAAUUUAUGUACAACUAAUGCAAGUAUGACUAAUACAAGCAUUAUUAAAGCAAGUAUUUCUUAUACACUUUAUCUAACGACUCCUCCAUAUACAAUAGAGUGUUUAACUUAUGCAAGCAUUAUUUAUAGUAAUACACAAAGCUAAUGCAUGCAUUAUUUUUCCUAAUACACUCUACGUGUAUUAGCCAGAAACUAAAAUACAAAAAAAAUAGUCUUUUUACAUAUUCUUUAAUCUAUUCAUUUUCUUAAUAUAACAUAUAAAUAACUUGAUCACUUGUCUCACAUCUCCACCAUAUAACAAAACUGAAUCUCAUACAUUUAACUAAUGUGAGACUUUAAUAUUGAACAAUAAUUUAUCGCCAAAUUUAUAUAUAAUAAUAAAGCUAGAAAUAUAAAUUCUUACUUUAUGUUUUAUUAAUACCUUGUUUAGUAUUUUUUUUUUCCAACCUAUUUAUAACUAAUGUAAACAUUAGUUAAACACUUUAUUGUGUAUUAAAGUGUGUAUUACACUAUUACUAAUAUCAUGGAUUCUAGGUAUUAGUAAUGCAAUGGUUUUAAUGCAUGCAUUAGCAUGGUUAAAGACCCAAUUGCCCCUUAAAACUUUUUUUUAAUCUUUUCCACCAUAAUUGUGAAGAGUAUCUUUGUAAAUAAUUUUUUUUAUGCAAUACUUGUUAUUUUUAAUGCACCUAAUUAAACAAUGCAUAAAAAUAAUUUAUCUAUAAUUGAUACAAGCAUUACUAAUUAAUACAAGCAUUAUUAAUCAAACAUUACUAAUAUACUCUAUUUAGCAUUAAAUUUAUUGUCACACCCCGAGCCUACACCCUGGGCGGGACUGACACUCGAAGACCAUUGUUGGCCCAAAGCGAACCCUUUGCCUGGCUUACAUAACUUAGCAGAAGACUUAAACUCAACAAAGGUAAGUUCAUAUAGUAAACUGGAAUGUUAUAAAUGAACAUUCAACUGGCCAUUAAGGCAAACUCAAGUCUCAACAUGGAAUAAUGACAAUGAAAAGACUAAACAACUAACAUCUGACUGUCUAUGAAGCCUCUAAUAACAACUGAGAUGGAUGUUGGGACAAACCCCACAACAACCUAAUUAAGUAAACUAGAAAAUAAUGAAAUGGAUCCUCCGAAAUGCAAGGACGCUCACCAAUAGACUCUGAACUGCUUACUGGAUCAAUGAUGCGCCGAAAUGCCAAUCCUAGUUACCUGUGUUUGCAUCAUAAGACGAUGCAGGCCAACUGGCAUCAGUACAUUGAAUGUACGAGUAUGCGAGUUGGAAAGCUAAACAUAACAUAGGCUUGAAAAUGAUCUAAAAGAAACACUUACCUUGGCUCUUCUCAAUUCAUGAAUACUUAACUGAACGCAUUUCAUUAUAAAGUAGUUUAAGACAAGUGCAACAUAAAGAAAAAGAAAACUGUUUAAAACAUGUUGUCAACUCAUAAUCAUAAAAUCAUAAAAAAACAUAACAUGAUCCCUCUGAAAGUCUACUUGUGCAAUGCAUGAAUGAAGUCCCAUACCCCAUCCAUACUAAGCAGAACCCCUUGAGGAACCAUGCAAUUACUGUUGUGGGAGUUUCUCUAACCGACAAGCAACACUUAAAAACUAUAGUGAUGAUACAACGUUAUUAGCCCCACGCUGCCCGGGCCAUCUUAUACCUUGUCGUGGUACAGAACCUGAACUACUAAUUGGAUCCACUAGUCUAUGAGAAAAGGAUUCAUCUAAAAGUAUGACCAUUUUCUACCCAUGAUGGUUACAUGGUUUAUGGAGACUUGAGUUAAUGUGAACUCGCAUCGCCAUAUCCGUGCCCAAUACUACUCCCAAAAAUAUAAUAUAUAUUAGCUUUUAUGUUUAAAAACAUACUUGUUCUGUGAUUUGAGAUUAGUGCUCAAAAACUUAGCUCAAAGGCUAUCUUAGAAAUCAAAGUUUCCCCUCUUGCUUAAUUAUGAAAGCAUUUACUCUUUUCUGAAAAUUAGUCUGAAGGCUCUUUGGAAAUCGAGGUUUCCUUUCUUGUUUAAAUGUGAAAACAUUUUAAACUCUUUGGGAAUACAUGGUCCCCAUAUACUUUUGAAGAAAAUGAACUUCAACUCUUUACUCUUUGCUUAACUUGAAAUUUAAGUCUUAGAACAAAGUUAAAACAUUUGGAAAAGACUUUUGGAAAACUCUAAGAACUUCUCUUGACUUGACUCCUACUUCUUUUGACAUUGAUCCUAACUUUCCUUGAAUAGGAUUAUGGAUUCAAGGUUCAUGAUCUCAUGUUUAUGGAUGAUUUCAUGAUGUUUAGAUAUACCUUAGAGUGUUGGAAUCAACUAGAAAAUAUAUGUACAUUGCUAAGGAACAAGUACGAAAAGAUAGGGAACGAAUGGGGAGAAAUGGCGUCCCUGGAACUUUGAGAGGCGCAGGGCGCCAGCCCUCAACAUUCAGAGACCAAGUUGGGGUGCUCUGGCUGGCACGACGCCCCACCUCCUUCCCCAAGUGCUUGAUGACUUUUCUUCUCCGUUUUACAACUCUAAACCCUCUAAACUUUAAUGGUUUUUUUCCCAAACACUAAGGAUCAUUUAUACCCUCGAUAUAUGAUAGAUUCAAACCGAAAUUACACCCGAAAACAUGAAUCAAAUCGCAAGAAACUUCAACAAAACAACCCAAAAGAAUUCAGACGAAUUUCAUCAAGAACUCGAAGGAUUUACUUUCAAAUCACACAUAUUUCGCUGAAUUUAAUCAUGAUUGGCGCGUGGAUGAACUAACCCAACGCUAUGUGAUCUCACAUACCUUUUUAGGGAUCACCCACGACGAAAUCCACAAGUUAUCCUUGACGAAAUCGACGAAUCUUGCUUCCUCUUUUCCUUUCUCCUCUUUUCUCUUUUCUCCAAGUCCUAGCGUGAACUCUAACUUUUCUAAACUGACCAAAAUCUGGUUUUACCCCAAUUAAUCUCCUAAAAACGAAUUAGAAUAAUUAGGUAAGGAAAAGACUAAAUAACCUUUCUAAAAUCCGAAUUAGACUUUCCUUAAUCCAACAACCCAAGGAGUUAUGGCCAUUUGAAGUUAACCAAAACUCAACUUUUCCUAACUUAAACAAAUUUCCAGAUUUUUAUUCUUUCCAAAAAUGACUAUUUCCAAUUAUUAGCUUUUUCCUAGUUAUUUCAAAUUGCAAGAUGUUACAAUAUCUCCCCCUUGGGAACAUUCCUCCUCGAAUGAGAUUAUUCUUACUAGGCUCAGGGCGUAACAUCAAGUUCAAACACCCAACAAGCAAAUGCAAACAAACAACAUGCUUACCCAUAAAUAAAUACUAAGAAAGGAUUAGUACCUUGAUCUAGAAUUUCUCCGGGUUUGAAGAGAUGUGAAUAUCUCUUCUUCAUACUUUUUCACCAAUAGACUUCUCUCAAGUCACGAUACAUCUUGGUGGAACUCGGAUGAAUGGAAUAUCUGGAGCUUUAAGCUUCUUCCAUGAUCCUCUCUUGGGUUCCAUCCACCAUUGAUACACACAACCUACCUUGAUGUCUCAACACACCAUCUCCCCCUUCUUCAAAAGUUAAUACUUUUUGCUUAUGAACAUUUGCCAUCAAUUCAAGAAAGAUAAGGUCUUGGUCUUUCUCACCUUUUACUUCUGACACUAAUGAUGAUUCAGCCCCAUUCAUCACCACUAUUCCUUCUCUUGUGGAAUCCGUUAGUCGAACUCCUAAUCAUGUAAGUCUAUCCACAUCUUUUGCUAACUAUUUCUUAUCUUCCUCAACAUGGGCGGUACUACCCAUAGACAACCUGCUCAAGGCAUCAGCAAUAACAUUAGCCUUACCUGGGUGAUAAAGAAUACUCAUGUCAUAAUCCUUGAAUAAUUCCAACCACCUUCUUUGUCUGAGAUUAAGCUCUUUCUAGGUGAACACAGAUUGAAGACUAUUGUGAUCAGUGAAUACAUCAACAUGCACACCAUACAAGUACUGACGACAUAUCUUCAAAGCGAAUACUACAGCAGCCAACUCUAAGUCAUGGGUGGGGUAGUUCUUAUCGUGAACUUUCAACUGUCUAGAGGCAUAAGCUAUAACUUUGUCAUUCUGCAUUAAGACACAACCCAACCCAACUCUAGAUGCAUCACAGUACACCACAAAACGUUGAGUACCUUCUAGUAAGGUCAAAACUGGGCAGUAGUCAACCUCUUCUUCAAUUCCUGAAAGCUUUUCUCACAAGCUUCAGACCAUUAAGAUUUCCCUGUCUUCUGAGUUAACUUAGUCAAAUGGGAUGAAAUAGACGAGAACCCCUCUACAAACCUUUUAUAAUAGCCAGCCAAACCCAAGAAACUCAUAAUAUCAGUAGGAGAUGUGGGUCUAGGCCAAUUCUGCACUGCCUCUAUCUUCUGGGUAUCAACUCUAUUUCCAUCUCCGAAAACUAUGUGGCCCAAGAACGCCACAGACUCAAGCCAAAACUCACAUUUUGAGAACUUAACAUACAACACAUUAUCUUUCAAAGUCUGAAGAACUAUUCUGAGAUGGCCAGCAUGAUCUUCUUCAUUUCUUGAAUAAAUUAGUAUGUCAUCAAUGAAGACGAUAACAAACAUAUCUAAGUAAGGUUUGAAGACUCUAUUCAUAAGGUCCACGAACGUUGCUGGUGCAUUGGUCAAACCAAAGGACAUGACCAAAAACUCAUAAUGAUCACAACGGGUCCUGAAUGUUGUCUUGGAAAAAUCACAUUCCCUUACUUUCAACUAAUGGUAGCUAGAUCUGAGGUCAAUCUUAGAAAAACAAGAAGCCCCUUGAAGCUGAUCGAAAAGAUCAUCAAUUCUCGGAGGAGGAUACUUAUUCUUGAUGGUAACUUUGUUCAAUUGACGGUAAUUUAUACACAUCAUAAGGAAACCAUCUUUCUUUCUCACAAACAAGACCGGAGCUCCACAAGGUGAGACACUUGGUCGAAUGAAGCCAUUAUCUAAUAGAUCAUUUAACUGCUCUUUCAACUCCUUCAACUAUGUUGGUGCCAUUCUGUAUGGCGGAAAAGAGAUAGGACGAGUAUCUGGAAGAAUGUAUAUAUCAAAGUCUAUUUCUCACUCAGAAGGGACUCCGGGAAUAUCAUCAAGAAAGACUUCUGGAAACUCUCGUGCUACUAAAACUGACUGAAUAUGAGGUAUCUCAGUACUAGAGUCAUUAACUCGGACUAAGUGAUAGAAACACCCGUUAGAAACUAAUUUCCUUGCCUUAAGGUACGAAAUGAUACGACCCUUAGGCACUGCUGAACUGUUUUUCCACUCUAAGAUUGGCUCAUUUGGAAACUGAAACUUAACUACUCGAGUUCUACAAUCAACUGAGGCAUAACAGGCAUGAAACCAGUCCAUACCAAGAAUGACAUCAAAAUCUACCAUGUCUAACUCAAUUAAAUAAGCCAUGGUGUCUUUGUGAUGGACGGAAAUGACACAAUCACUAUAAACUCGCUCAUCUAGAAUAGACUCUCCAACAGGUGUAGAAACACAGAAGGGUUCACACAGUUUCUCAAGAAUAACAUCAAACUUAUUUGCAACAUAAAGGUUAACAAAAAAUAAACUUGCUCCUGGGUCUAGCAAAGCAUAAACAUCAAAAGUAAAGACUUGGAUUAUACCAGUGACCACAUCUGGAGAAUUCUCUUGCUUUUGUGACUAUUGAUAGCAUACAAUCGGUUUGUUUCCCCGCUAGUACCUGAAGUAGCUGCUCGAGGUGCAACUCUGUCUGAUGGAGCAACUGAAGAAAGUUGGGCCCUAUUGCCCCCUAUUACCAUUACCUUGCAUGUUCUCAGGACACUCCCUCAUAAAAUGACCGUUCUGACCACACUUGAAACAACCAGUAGAGCCCUCACGACAAAUACCUGAGUGGUUUCUGCCACACUUAGCAUAUGCAGGAGGCUUACUACCCCUUUGUGCCAUACUGCCUUGAGAAUAGGCAGGUUAAGCUCUGAAACUCUGGGAAUUCUGACUAUUGUACUCACUUUUGUUCUUAGGUGCAGGUGCACUAGCAGAUAAUGGGGUAGGUCCCUUCUGUUUCUAUUGGAAGGAAAACCAAUUUGCACUACUCUUUUGCUGCCUGAACUUGUUCCCUGAUGUCUUAGCCCUCUUAUUCUUAAACUCUUCUCUAUCCUUCAGCUUAUCCUCCUCAACUUGUUGUACAUGUAUCAUUAGCCUUGCUAUGUCCAUAUCCCCUAUCAAUAUUGCUGCCUUGCCUUCAUUGCUUGACUGACGAGACAAUCCAGCAACAAAUAAACUAAUCUUGUUCUUCAUUUCAACAACAAUCUCCGGGGAAUAGAGGGAAAGUUGUGCGAACUUCAAACUGUACUCAUGAACACUCAUAGACUCCGAAUUAAGGGUAAGAAAUUCUCUUAUCUUUGCCUCUCGCAACUCACGGGGAAAGAAACGUCUCAUGAGAGCACUCUCAAACACAGCCCAACUCAGUAUUGACGCAUCCUCAACCCUAUUCUUUUUCCAUUGGUCGAACCAGACUCUAGCGAUACCCUUCAGUUAGUAUGCAGAUAGUUCCUCCCUCUCAGCAUCAACAACAUACAAUAUCUCAAAAAAAUUCUGAAGUACUUCAACAAAGUUCUCUAAAUCCUCUGUGACACUUGAACCUGUGAAGCAUGGUGGAUUCAUCCCUAAAAACUCAAGGAUUCUUGAAGUAUCAGCCACAUCAUGUCGAUUACUUCUCCGUCCAACUUGAUGAGUCGCAACUUGGCUUAACAUCCGGAUAGUCUCACGGAAUUCAGCAUGGUUAACUUGCCUUUGAGGUUGUACUUCAGGUGCAUUAGGUAACUCCUGCUCAUCAACAUUUCUCCUAGCUGGACGACCUCUAACUGCUCUUCGUGAAGGCAUGAUUAUCUGAAACAUGCGCAAGAACGAAUUAAAGGGAAACCUUUUGGAGACCAAGAUCUAACACACGAAAUGAGUAUGAAAGAAGUGAGAAAUUUUCCUAAAUGUUGCAGCCUAAUAAUUAUAGAUGUGGCUUCACACCGAUAAAUAAGACUCUACAGACACGGCUUCAUAAACUCCCUAGGACUCUUAAACUUUGUGCUUUAAUACCAAGUUUGUCACUCCCCGAGCCUACGCCCUGGGCGGGACUGACACUCGAAGACCAUUGUUGGCUCAAAACGAACCCUUGGCCUGGCUUACUUAACUCAGCGGAAGACUUAAACUCAACAAAGGUAAGUUCAUAUAGUAAACUGGAAUGUUAUAAAUGAACAUUCAACUGGCCAUUAAGGCAAACUCAAGUCUCAACAUGGAAUAAUGACAAUGAAAAGACUAAACAACUAACAUCUGACUGUCUAUGAAGCCUCUAAUAACAACUGAGAUGGAUGUUGCGACAAACCCCACAACAUCCUAAUGAACUAAACUAGAAAACAAUUAAAUGGAUCCUCCGAAAUGCAAGGAGGCUCACCAACAUACUCUGAACUACUCACUGGAUCAACGAUGCGUCGGAAUGCCAAUCCAAGUUACCUAUGUCUGCAUCAUAAGACGAUGCAGGCCAACUGGCAUCAGAACAUUGAAUGUAUGAGUAUGCGAGUUGGAAAGCCAAACAUAACAUAGGCUUGAAAAGGAUCUGAAAGAAACACUUACCUUGGCUUUUCUAGACUCAUGAAUACUUAACUGAACUCAUUUCAUUAUAAAGCAGUUUAAGACAAGUGCAAUAUAAAGAAAAAGAAAACUGUUUAAAACAUGUUGUCAACUCAUAAUCAUAAAAUCAAAAAAAAAACAUAUCAUGAUCCCACUCAAAGUCUACUUGUGCAAUGCAUGAAUGAAGUCUCAUACCCCCAUCCAUACUAAGUAGAACCCCUUGAGAAACCAUGCAAUUACUGCUGUGGGAGUUUCUCUAACCGACAAGCAACACUUAAAAACUAUAGUGAUGAUACAACGUUAUUAGCCCCACGCUGCCCGGGCCAUCCUAUACCUUGUCGUGGUAUAGAACCUGAACUACUAAGUGGAUCCACUAGUCUAUGCGAAAAAGAUUCAUCUAAAAAGUAUGACCCUUUUCUACCCAUGAUGGCUACAUGGUUUAUGGAGACUUGAGUUAAUGUGAACUAGCAUCCCCAUAUCGGUGUUGGAAAUCAAAUUUUCCCCUCUUGCUUAAUUAUGAAAGCAUUUACUCUUUUCUGAAAACUAGUCCGAAGGCUCUUUGGAAAUCGAGGUUUCCUUUCUUGUUUAAAUGUGAAAACAUUUUAAACUCUUUGGAAAUACAUGGUCCCCAUAUACUUUUGAAGAAAAUGAACUUCAACUCUUUACUCUUUGCUUAACUUGAAAUUUAAGUCUUAGAACAAAGUUAAAACAUUUGGAAAAGACUUUUGGAAAACUCUAAGAACUUCUCUUGACUUGAAUCCUACUUCUCUUGAUGUUGAUCCUAACUUUCCUUGAAUUGGACUAUGGAUUUAAGGUUCAUGAUCUCAUGUUUAUGGAUGAUUUCAUGAUAUUUAGAUGUACCUUAGAGUGUUGAAAUCAACUACAAAAUAUAGGUACAUUGCUAAGGAACAAGUACGAAAAGGUAGGGAACGAAUGGGGAGAACUGGCGUCCCUGGCACUCUAAGAGGUGCGGGGCACGAGCCCUCAACAGUCAAAGACCAAGUUGGGGUGCUCUGGCUGGCGUGACGCCCCACCCCAUUCCCCAGGUGCUUGAAGACUUUUCUUCUCCGUUUUUCAACUCUAAACGCUCUAAACUUCAAUGGUUCUUUUCCCAAACACUAAGAAUCAUUUAUACCCUCAAUAUAUGAUAGAUUCAAACCGAAAUUACACCCGGAAACAAGAAUCAAAUCGUAAGAAACUUCAACAAAAUAACGCACAAGAAUUCAAACGAAUUUCAUUAAGAACUCAAAGGAUUUACUUUCAAAUCACACAUAUUUCGCUGAAUUUGAUCAUGAUUGGCGCGUGGGUUAACUAACCCAACGCUAUGUGAUCUCACAUACCUUUUUAGGGAUCACCCCUGACAAAAUCCACAAGCUAUCCUUGACGAAAUCGACGAAUCUUGCUUCCUCUUCUCCUUUCUCCUCUUUACUCUUUUCUCCAAGCCAUAGCGUGAACUCUAACUUUUCUAAACCGACCAAAAUCUGGUUUUACCCCAAUUAAUCUCCUAAAAACGAAUUAGAAUAAUUAGGUUAGGAAAAGACUAAAUAACCCUUCUAAAAUCCGGAAGAGACUUUCCUUAAUCCAACUGCCCAACUUCCAAAAGGCAUAACUUAUUCAUACGAACUCGGAAUCGCGCAAACUAGGCAGCCUUGGAAAGAUCAUUCCAAGAGCUUUCCAGCCAUGUCUGGAAGUACACCUAACUCAUCUUGAUCAAGGAGUUAUGGCCAUUUGAAGUUGACCAAAAUUCAACUUUUCCUAACUUAAACAAAUUUCCAGAUUUUCAUUCUUUCCAAAAAUGACUAUUUCCAAUUAUUAGCUUCUUCCUAGUUAUUUCAAAUUGCGAGAUGUUACAUUUAUAUACUCUACUAACGACUCCUCAUAACUACUCAUCUUCCCCAGAGAAGCUGGUUGCGAAAAAAGAAAGGAAACUACAAAACUGUGAAAUAUUUAAUAAUUUCUUAAAAUAAAUGCACUCUAGCUCUGUCCCGUAUUGGUUUGUUACAUGUACAGUGGUGAGACUGAGACUGUUUCAUUCUUAAUCAGUUGUAUUGGCUUUGAAUCCUAGAUAUAGAGAAAAAUAUGUUGAAAGUGUCACCCCAAAUGGACCCUGCAAUGCGCAAAUCAAAUUUAACCAAAAUUCUAAUGCGAAUUCUGAAUCGAGUGAAAAAAUUAAUAAUACUAUCAACGAUGCUUAUUCCUUAUGAAAUGGGGGCAUUAUUUUCUUUUUUUAAACGAGCAAUCUAUUUAAAAUGAGAACAAUAAUGUUAAACGUGAGUUUAAUUCGUCUGAACUCUAUUGAACAUAUUAUAUACAUACAAUAUUCACACUAGCCGAAAUUAGCGAAUACAAGCAAAAUUAUCAGCACUUUUUUAAAAAUAUUUUUUUAGAAAAGUGCUUUUUCAAAAAACUAAAUACUCUUUCUGUCUUUCAUUUUACACGAAUAUUAAAAAUUUUAAAUAACAAAAUAAUUUUAUUAAUUUAUUUCUAAAAAGAAAUUUAAUUGAUGUUUUCUUAAUUUAGUAAGUUAAACAACUAGUCCAUUUGUCCCUACUUACUUGUCCACUUUUCUAUUUUAAGUUAUUCUUAAUUAUUUGUCCAUUUAGACAAAUCAAGAAAGGACAAAUUUGUUUUACCUAUUAUACCCUUAAUUAAUUACUUUGAAAAUAUAGAUUAUUUUGAAUGUUUUAAGUUUUAAUUCAUCCAUUUCAUAAUUAAUAAGGAUAAAUUGAUAAACUUACUAUGUCAAUAAUUGGUUUCUUAAUAGGUGUGUUAAUUUUAAAAAUGGACAAGUAAUUAGGGAUAGAAAGAGUAUUUUUACUUCAAAAGUAAAAUAAUCAACUAAUAUGAAAAAUGAGUGUUUAGUUCGGCGUGAUUAAGCCGUGGAAGAAAAUCACAUGCCGGGAUUUUGGAAAUAUCUUUAAGUUUCUUAAAGUUAUUUAGGAAGAAAAGUAAACUAUAUUUAGAUGGAUGAGUAAGAGCCUCUUUGGAUUGAUUUAAAAAAUAGGUUAAAGUUAAAAAUUAAAGGUCAAAUUGAAAUGACUUUUAAGUUAAAAAAUAAGUAGGGGGGUGGGGAUACUUUUAGUUUUUAACUUAUUUUAAGUUCUUUUUUUUCUUCGCGAAACACUUUCAGAAAAUCAAAUAUUGACUUCAAAGUAGGUUUGACAAACUUUUAAACCAAACCACACCAUCUAAGUCAACUUGAAUUAUUUGUAUAAUAUUCUCUUGUUCAAUAUAUAUAAACAAUAAACAUUAAAAACGUGACUGGAUAUUAAUUAAAUAAAAAUUAAUCAAUAUAUUCUUUUUGAUUCUUCUAAAAAAUAUAGAUAAUUAUUAUUUGGAAUUUAAAAAUAUUUGAAAACUUUAAAACUAUUAUUUAAAAAAAAAGGUAAUUCUAAUAAAAAAAUAAUGAAUAAUACAUUUUAAUUUUUUAAGAAAAUCAUUCAUGAACUAUAAGAAAAGUGUUAAUAAAGUCGGUAUAGUAUUCUUUUUUUACCUUGAAAACUGUCGUCGUUUUGCUCCAUUACACUUUGUUUUAGAUGAUUGUACUGAAAAAUCGUAUUGUACUGUUUUAAUAAAUACAUUGUUUGAACAGAUUGUAUCGGUCUCUAUUGUAAGAUAAUGUCACAUAUCCAUAAUUUGAAUGAUAAAUCUAUAAAAUAAAAUAAAAAGAUAAUGAAUAGAGCUACUAUGAAAAGAUAUGGAUAAAAAAUGAAAUACAACUAUUAAAUAAUAAUUAAUAAAUAAAUAAAAAAUGCAAAGAAAGUAUUUUGGUAACAAAGCGAUUACACCAAAUGGAUCGUUAUAUAAAAUGAGUAUUUUCAUCAUUAGCUAAGAAUGAAUUUUAAUUAUACAAUACAAUUUAAUACAAUACAAGUCAACCAUUAAUGACUUAAACUACUAUACUUAGAUAUGGGUAUGGCAAUAGACAAUCUUCUCAUCAUACUUGCAUAAGUUAUUUGGUAUUUUAUUGUUGUCAAAUAUAUCAGAUUUCUAUCCUCUAUUUGAGGCUCUGGAUCUGCAGGGAUUGAGAAAGCAGACGGAAAUAUAUCAGAGUCAAUUGAUCAAUAUCUGGAGUGAAAUUGUAAAGGAAAAAGGCAGGCAAUUAAACGUCAUAGCUCGAAUUUUUUGAAUGUCAUGAUUGAUAGUGGAUUCUCAGAUUUACAGAUCAAUAUCUUAGUGAUAGUAAUAUCUCAACUUUUUAAAAUCAGUAUACUCUGGUUUCAAAUAGAUGUGAAUUUUUUAGGCAAAACCAAUUGAGGUUGACAUGACACAAUCUUGUUCUUGAAUUUCAGGAAUUAGUGGGUGCGGGUUCUAACACCACAACCUCAACAAUUGAAUGGGCAAUGAUAGAGUUGCUGAGGAACAAGGGUGCUAUGCACAAAUUUCAGGCUGAGCUUACAAGUAAAUUCAGGGAAAAUGAUAUAAUAACAGAAUCAAACAUCAGUGAACUUCCAUAUUUGGCUGCUAUUGUCAAGGAGACAUUGAGAAUCCAUUCACCUACUCCCUUCUUGAUUCCUCGUCGUCGUGCUCCUGAGACGUGUAAGAUUAUGAAUUAUACCAUCCCAAAUAACUCGAAGUUGUUUGUCAAUGUUUACACAAUAGGGCGUGACUCCAACUUAUGGGAAGAUUUUAAGUUCAUACCAUUUGGUGCAGGGAGGAGAAUAUGCCCUGGCUUAGGUUUUGCUCGACAAGAAAUUCACUUGAUUUUAGCUUGUUUGAUCCAUUACUUUGAGUGGUCAAUUCCUAAUGGUGAGGAUCCAAUGCAGUUAGAUAUGGAAGAAAAAGUUUGGGUGUUACUCUACAGAAAGAAAAGCCUCUACUCAUUGUCCCUAUGUAAUGUGUAUAUCUUUUUUGUUCUACACAUGCAACAUGUAGUACCUUCACUUACAAAUAAAAACUAUACUAUUAUGUUCCAAAGCUAUCUUAUUUUUUAGAAUGGAAUUAGUUUUUGCAUUGUUAUGAUAUGGGUAUGGGUAGGGUCAGAAAAAAAAAUUAAAGAAUGAAGUAGAGUUUCAGAAAUGUUUUCCUCAAUUAUUGAAGGGAAGUCAUUUUCCUUAAAUUUGAGGAAAAUGAGAUAAUUUGGAAAACAUUUUUCAAACAUGAAAAAAUUGGCCAUACCAAACACACCAUUUAUUUAUCAACAUUUUCAUAAAUUGACAACUCUGUUGGUAAGGUGAGAAAAGAUAAAUGGUUUUUGGAUUCUUCAUUACGAAAAUUAUUGGUGAGGUGAUUCAGUACACACGUAUGUAUUUUACUAUUUUUUAUUCUUUAUUUUUUGUCGUCAUUUUAGUGAUGAUAUUAUCAAUGAAGAUGACUAGAUACUUAAUUGAUAUGAGUUUAUUUGUUUUGUAUUUAGAUUUUUUUAUUACAUGUGCAAUUUAAUUUUGAUUAAGACUUAUUUUAUCAAGACCAAGAAGAGUUGGUCGAAAUUGGACAAAGUUUCUAAUUAUUCAAUCGUUUUUUAAAUAAUUUAUUGUUGAGUUUUGAAUAUAUUUGUUUUGAUGUUACAGUUUUAAUUCAUUGAAUCCAAAUAGGUUUUCCACAAAAUUUUAAAAUCCCCCCCCCCCCCCUCCCCAGAAUCAAGUAGGAUUAACAAAGAAACUAAUUAAGUGUCCAUCAUACUUAUUGAUAGUGAAGAUGCGCAACUCCAAUUUCUAAAACUGUGUAUAUGACAUAAGUUUAAGAAUGGUAUUAUAGAAUCCUAUUGAUAAACUAUUGCCUACGUAGCAAUAGAUGAGUGACUAUAAAAUAUGAAGUCUUGUACAUUACCGGGUCGUUUGGUAGAGUGAAUAAGAAUAAUGUUAAAUAGAGUGUAUUAGUAAUGCUUGCAAGUAUUAACAAAAAUAAUGCUUGCAUGCAUUAGCUUUGUUUAUUAGUAAUAUCUUGUUUGAUACUUUUUUUCAUACUAUGUAUAACUAAUGCAAACAGUAAUUAUACACUCUAUUGUGUAUUGGGGAGUGUAUUACUAAUACCAUGAAUUUCUAGGUAUUAGUAAUGCAUGCAUUAGCAUUUUAAAGACACAAAUACCCUUCAAAAAUACUUUUACAUCUUUUUCACCAUAAUUAUGGAGGAUAUUUUUAUAAAUAAAUAUUUGUGUGCAAUACAUGCUAUUUUUAAUGCUACCAAACCAAACAAUGUAUAAGAAAUAAUUUAUGUACAACUAAUGCAAGUAUAACUAAUACAAGCAUUAUUAAUGCAGGUAUUUCUUAUACACUCUAUUGAGCAUUAUUUUUAUACACUCUAUCAAACGACUCCUGCAUGUAUUAGUUAUGUUUGCAUUAAUUAUACAUAGAUUAUUUUAAUGCUUUGUUUGGUUUAAUGCAUUAAAAAUAGUAUGUAUUGCAUUAAAAAGAUUAUUUACAAAGAUACCCUCCACUUUAUCGUGGAAAAGAUGUAAAAAAGGUUUUGAGGGACAAUUGAGUCUUUUGUCAUGUUAAUGCAUGCAUUGAAAUCAGUGCAUUGCUAAUACCUAGAAAUUCAUGGUAUUAGUAAUGCACACCUUAAUACACAAUAGAGUGUUUAAUUUAUGCAAGCAUUAUUUAUAGUAAUACACAAAGCUAAUACAUGCAUUAUUUUUCCUGAUACACUACGUGUAUUAGCCAGAAGUUGAAAUACAAAAAAAAAUAGUCUUUUUACAUAUUCUUUAAUCUAUUCAUUUUCUUAAUAUAACAUAUAAAUAUCUUGAUCACUUCUCUCACAUCUCCACCAUAUAACAAAACUGAAUCUCAUACAUUUAACUAAUGCGAGACUUUAAUAUUGAACAAUAAUUUAUCGCCAAAUUUAUAUAUAAUAAUAAAGCUAGAAAUAGAAAUUAUUACUUUAUGUUUUAUUAAUACCUUGUUUGGUAUUUUUUUUUCUAACCUAUUUAUAACUAAUGUAAACAUUAGUUAUACACUCUAUUGUGUAUUAAAGUGUGUAUUACACUAUUACUAAUAUCAUGGAUUCUAGGUAUUAGUAAUGAUGUGGUUUUAAUGCAUGCAUUAGCAUGAUUAAAGACCCAAUUGCCCCUUAAAACUUUUUUUUUCAUCUUUUCCACCAUAAUUGUGAAUAGUAUCUUUGUAAAUAAAUUUUUUUAUGCAAUACAUGUUAUUUUUAAUGCACCUAAUCAAACAAUGCAUAAAAAUAAUCUAUCUAUAAUUGAUACAAGCAUUACUAAUUAAUACAAGCAUUAUUAAUCAAACAUUACUAAUAUACUCUAUUUAGCAUUAUAUUUAUAUACUCUACUAACGACUCCUCAUAACUACUCAUUCGCCCCAUAGAAGCUGGUUGCGAAAAAAGAAAGGAAACUACAAAACUGUGAAAUAUUUAAUAAUUUCUUAAAAUAAAUGCUCUAGCUCCGUCCCGUAUUGGUUUGUUACAUGUACAGUGGUGAAACUGAGACUAUUUCAUUCUUAAUCAAAUGUAUUGGCUUUGAAUCUUAAAUAUAGAGAAAAAUUUGUUGAAAGUGUCACCCCAAAUGGACCCUGCAAUGCACAAAUCAAAUUUAACCAAAACUCUAAUGCGAGCACCGAUUGAAAAAAAAAAUACUGUCAACGAUGCUCAUUCCUUAUGAAAUGGGAGCAUUAUUUUCUUUUUUAAAUGAGCAAUCUAUUUAAAAUGAGAAAAAUAAUGUUAAACGUGAGUUUGACCUGUUCACUUUAACAGUUCUUAGCUUUUUUUUCUUCAAAUUAUUUAUAGGUUUGCCAAUUAAGAAUUAAGGAGAUUAAGCGCUACAAAAAUAUUGUGUCUGUUUUUUUUUAAUUCGUCUAAACUCUAUUGAUCAUAUUAUAUACAUACAAUAUUCGCACUAGCCGAAAAUAGCGAAUACAAGCAAAAUUAUCAGCGCUUUUUUAAAAAUAUUGUUUUAGAAAAGUGUUUUUUCAAAAAAAUAAAUAUUCUUUCUGUCUUUCAUUUUACACGCAUAUUAAAAAUUAUAAAUAAGAAAAUAAUUUUAUUAAUUCAUUUCUAAAAAGAAAUUAGAAAUUUUAAAAAUAAAUGUGAAUAUUUUUUUAAAAAUAAUUGUAGAGGUAAUAUAGGUAAAUUUUAAUUGAUGUUUUCUUAAUUUAGUAAGUUAAACAACUAGUCUAUUUGUCCCUAAUUACCUGUCCACUUUUCUUUUUUAAGUUAUUCUUAAUUAUUUGUCCAUUUAGACAAAUCAAGAAAGGACAAAUUUGUUUUACCUAUUAUACCCUUAAUUAAUUACUUUGAAAAUGUAGAAUUUUUUGAAUGUUUUAACUUUUAAUUCAUCCAUUUCAUAAUUAAUAAGGAUAAAUUGGUAAAUUUAUUAUGUCAAUAAUUAUUUUCUUAAUAGGUGUGCCAAUUUUUAAAAUGGACAAGUAAUUAAGGAUAGAAAGAGUAUUUUUACUUCAAAAGUAAAAUAAUCAACUAAUAUGAAAAAUGAGUGUUUAGUUCAGCGUGAUUAAGCCGUGGAAGAAAAUCACAUGCCGGGAUUUUGGAAAUAUCCUUAAGUUUCUUAAAGUUCUUUAGGAAGAAAAGUAAACUAUAUUUAGAUGGAUGAGUAAGAGCCUCUUUGGAUUGAUUUAAAAAAUAGCUUAAAGUUAAAGGUCAAAUUGAAAUGACUUUUAAGUCAAAAAAUAAAAAGUAGCGGAGGUGGAGCUACUUUUAGUUUUUAACUUAUUUUAAGUUCUUUUUUUUCUUCGCCAAACACUUUCAGAAAAUCAAAUAUUGACUUAAAAGUAGGUUUGACAAACUUUUAAACCAAACUACACUCUCUAAGUCAACUUGAAUUAUUUGUAUAAUAUUCUCUUGUUCAAUAUAAACAAUAAACAAAAUAUUAAAAAUGUGACUGGAUAUUAUUAAAUAAAAAUUAAUCAAUAUAUUAUUUUUGAUUCUUCUAAAAAAUAUAGAUAAUUAUUAUUUGGAAAUUAAAAAUACUUGAAAACUUUAUAACUAUUAUUUAAAAAAAAGGGUAAUUCUAAUAAAAAAAACAAUGAAUAAUACAUUUUUAUUUUUUUAAGAAAAUCAUUCAUGAACUAUAAGAAAAGUGUUAAUAAAGUUGGUAUAAUAUUCUUUUUUUACCUUGAAAACUCUAGUCGUUUUGCUCCCUUACACUUUGUUUUAGAUGAUUGUACUGAAAAAUCGUAUUGUAAUGUUUUAAUAAAUACAUUGUUUGAACAUAUUGUAUCGGUCUCUAUCGUAAAAUAAUGUCACAUAUCCAUAAUUUGAAUGAUAAAUCUAUAAAUAAAAUAAAAAAAGAUAAUGAAUAGAGCUACUAUGAAAAGAUAAGGAUAAAAAAUGAAAUACAACUAUUAAAUAAUAAUUAAUAAAUAAAAACAAAAUGCAAAGAAAGUAUUUUGGUAACAAUGCGAUUAGACCAAAUGAAUCGUGAUAUAAAAUGAGUAUUUUCGUCAUUAGCUAAGAAUGAAUUUUAAUGAUACAAUACAAAUUAACACAAUACAAGUAAACCAUUAAUGACUUAAAUUACUAUACUUAUAUAUGGGUAUGGCAAUAGACAAUCUUCUCAUCAUACUUGCAUGUGUUAUUUGGUAUGUUAUUGUUGUCAAUGGAGUAUUAUACGCUGCCAGCAUCCUUUCUUUUCUUGAUUUCAUUCUUCUUCCUCAUCCUUAAACAACUCACACAAAAAUCUCGAAACCUUCCACCAGGUCCUCGACCAUGGCCUGUGUUAGGAAAAAUUCUCCAAAUGGGGAAAAACCCUCAUAUUUCCCUGGCACAAUUUGCCAAAAUGUAUGGCCCAUUGAUUUCUGUCAAGUUGGGAACUCAACUGGUUGUGGUAGCUUCAUCCCCUGCUUCUGCAGCUGAAAUCCUCAAGACUCAAGAUCGUCUGCUAUCGGUCCGAUCUGUGCCCAAAGUUGCUAUAUAUGAACUCUCUGUUAUUGAUCAACACUCAAUUGUUUUUUCCAGUGAUUUGAGCAAUCACUGGAAGUUCUUGCGGGCAUUUUGUCGAACACAUUUGUUCUCACCCAAAGCGGUCGAGUCACAGACUACUCUGAGGGAGAAAAAAAUGUGGGAAAUGAUAGAGUUUCUUAGGUCUAGGAAAGGGGAAACUGUGAAGAUUUCUGAAAUUCUGUUUGGUACCAUUUUAAACACGUUAGGGAACCUUUUCUUUUCAAAAGAUUUAUGUCAUUUGGAUUAUGAAAGAAACACCAGUGAGAUCAAAUGUGUUUUUAGAAAAUUUAUAGAAUUGGGAGCUAUGCCAAAUAUAUCAGAUUUCUAUCCUUUAUUUGAGGCUCUGGAUCUGCAGGGAUUGAGAAAGCAGACGGAAAUAUAUCAGAGUCGAUUGAUCAACAUCUGGAGUGAAAUUGUCAAGGAAAAAAGGCAUGCAAUUAGCCGUCAUAGCUCGGAUUUUUUGGAUGUCAUGAUUGAUAGUGGAUUCUCAGAUUUACAGAUCAAUAUCUUAUUGACAGUAAUUUAUUUAUCACCUCUAAAUCAAUUUCUUAAAACUAAUAGACAAAUUUGAUGAAAUAGGCGUGAGUUUUGUUUUUAAAAGAUGAUUGAGAUGGACAUGACACAAUUCUGUUCUUCAAUCUCAGGAAUUAAUAGGUGCGGGUUCUGACACCACUACCGCAACAACUGAAUGGGCAAUGACAGAGUUGCUAAGGAACAAGGGCGCUAUGCACAAACUUCAGGCUGAGCUUACAAGUCAAUUCGGGGAAAAUGAUAUUAUCACAGAAUCAAACAUCACUGAACUUCCAUAUUUGGCUGCUUGUGUUAAGGAGACAUUGAGACUCCAUUCGCCUACUCCCUUCUUGAUUCCUCGUCGUGCAUCUGAGACAUGUAAGAUUAUGGAUUACACCAUCCCAAAAAACUCGAAAUUGUUUGUGAACGCUUGGGCAAUAGGGCGUGACUCCAACACUUGGGAAGAUGCAUUAUCUUUCAAGCCUGAGCGAUUUCUAGACUCUAAUGUGGACUUCAGGGGUCAAGAUUUUGGGCUCAUACCAUUUGGUGCAGGGAGGAGAAUAUGCCCUGGCUUAGGUUUUGCUAGACAAGAAAUUCACUUAAUUUUAGCUAGUUUGAUCCAUUACUUUGAAUGGUCACUUCCUAAUGGUGAGGAUCCAAUGCAGUUAGAUAUGGAAGACAAGUUUGGUGUUACUCUACAGAAAGAAAAGCCUCUACUCAUUGUUCCUAUGUAAUAUGAGUAUUUUUUUUAUAGUCUAUAUCCAAGAUAUAAUGUCACUUGGAGUACAAAAUAAAUGAUUUAUUGUGCGACAAGUAAAAUCGUAAAAAUAUUAAGUAUAACUUGUGUCUUUGGGGUAUAAAGAUUUUUCGCAAAAGUCGUGACAGUAUUGUAUGGAGAUGUGUUCUCCUAUGGUGGAUACAAUGAAAUUUCUUUUAGUUUGACAAUAUAUGAAAAACUUGAAUAAGAUAAUAAAUGAUUAUUAUAUGUAGCUAGACAGUACACAUUAUAUGAAAAUCCUUGAAUGAUUUAAAAUGUUAUAAAACUAUUCGAUUGAAUAGUACCCCUAUGAUUGUGAGAUCAUUUUAUAUAAAUAAAGAUUAAUUUCAGUCACAUUAGAAUGAAACGAAAAUAUAAUUUUACUGCAAUUGGUGCACUUAUGUAUCAUGAAAAUAUUAGAGUGAAACAAAUAUUGAUACAAAUUAUUUAUUUUGAUCAAUCAUGUCAAGGUUUAUUGAUUAUGAAAUUUGAUCUCUAGAAAGUUGUAUGUCUUCAUGUGGAAAUAUUGUCAUAUCAAAUCAUUUCACAAGCCAAUCAAUUUUAUAUAUCGAAAUAGUUCAUCUUCCUCACUGACUAAUUUUUUUUAUAAAUAUCGAUAUUGUAUAAAUAGUUAUGUUAGGUAUAUAUAAUGUACAUAUGCAUUCAUAUAUAUUUUUAUAUAUAUAUCGAAAUAGUUCAUCUUCCUCAACAAACUAAUUUUCUUAUUUAGAUCCCGAACUAUUCGAAUUUCUUUUAAGCUGUUACAACUUUUAGAGAUGAGCUCCUAUUAAUAUUUUAAAUUUUUUGAUAUCUUAUUCACUCAAAAUAAUUCACAUUUACUACAUGUCUGAGUUUUAAAAUUUGUGUUAAGCGCUGAAUAUAUAAAGAAUUUUUUGCUUGACUAUUAUUAAUACAAUAAAACAAAAUAGCGGUUGGUGAGUAUGACAAGUUGGAAUAUUUUGGUGUUUUAUAUAUGUCUAUUGGCCAAUUAUGAAAUAUCUUCUCAUUAUACUUGUGUUGAUUUAAUGGAGUAUUAUAUGCUGCAAGCAUCCCUUCUUUUCUUGAUUCCAUUCUUCUUCCUCAUCGUUAAACAACUCAUACCAAAAUCUGGAAAUCUUCCACCAGGUCCUCGACCAUGGCCUGUGUUAGGAAAUAUUCUCCAACUGGGAAAAAACCCCCAUAUUUCACUGGCAAAAUUUGCCGAAAUUCAUGGGCCAUUGAUUUCUGUCAAGCUGGGAACUCAACUGGUUGUGGUAGCUUCGUCCCCUCAUUCUGCAGCUGAAAUCCUUAAGACUCAAGAUCGUCUUCUCUCAGCCCGGUCUCCGCCCAGUGUUGUUCCAUAUGAACUAUCUGUUAUUGAUCAACACUCAAUUGUCUUUUCUAGUGAUUUGGGCAAUCACUGGAAGUUCUUGCGGGCAUUUUGUCGAACACAUUUGUUCUCACCCAAAGCGGUAGAGUCACAGGCUGCUCUGAGGGAUAAAAAAGUGUCGGAAAUGAUACAUUUUCUUAGGUCUAAGAAAGGGGAAACUGUGAAGAUUUCUGAAAUUCUGUUUGGUACCAUUUUAAACACGUUAGGGAACCUUUUCUUUUCAAAAGAUUUAGUAUGUGGUUUGGAUUAUGAAAGAAACCCCAGUGGGAUCAAACGUGUUUUUAGAAAAUAUAUAGAAUUGGGAGCUAUGCCAAAUAUAUCAGAUUUCUAUCCUUUAUUUGAGGCUCUGGAUCUGCAGGGAUUGAGAAAGCAGACGGAAAUAUAUCAGAGUCGAUUGAUCAACAUCUGGAGUGAAAUUGUCAAGGAAAAAAGGCAGGCAAUUAGCCGUCAUAGCUCGGAUUUUUUGGAUGUUAUGAUUGAUAGUGGAUUCUCAGAUUUACAGAUCAAUAUCUUAGUGACAGUAAUAUCUCUUUUUUUUUUAGAACCAAUUUACUUUGGUUUCAAAUAGAAGAGUUGAUUUCUCAGACGGUGACUCAAUUAAUAGUUAUUGUCUCAAAAUGAUAACACUAUUAGUUAAGUGACAAUCUAAGGAAUCAACCCAACAAAAUUUGAUGUGAAAUUUUUAGUCAAAAUUAAUUUGAGGCUGACAUGACGCAAUCUUGUUCUUAAAUUUCAGGAAUUAAUGGGUGCGGGUUCUGACACCACAACCUCAACAAUUGAAUGGGCAAUGACAGAGUUGCUAAGGAACAACGGCGCUAUGCACAAACUUCAGGCUGAGCUUACAAGUAAAUUUGGGGAAAAUGAUACUAUCACAGAAUCAAACAUCAGUGAACUUCCAUAUUUGGCUGCUUGUGUCAAGGAGACAUUGAGACUCCAUUCGCCUACUCCCUUCUUGAUUCCUCGUCGUGCUCCUGAGACGUGUAAGAUUAUGAAUUACACCAUCCCAAAGAACUCGAAGUUGUUUGUGAAUGCUUACG
rnacentral:lncRNA from 1 species